UACAUAAAAAGAGGGAAUCAGGGUUUAUUGCUUUUAUUUGCCUAGAUUUUUGCAUGACAUGCAUAUGAGAAUAUGGGGAGUCAGCAGACAAGCAUAACACCACCCACCGAAAAUCUUUUGUCUGUAUUCUUGUUACACCUAUUCGACAUUAUUCUACAUUGAUAUUAAAAUGAAAAAGAAAGAAAAGAAAAAGUAAAGAGAAAAGGAAAGAAACAAGAAAGGGAGGUGAGACAAAAGAGAGAGGAAAGGCAAAAAAAAAAGCCGGAGAACAAGGGAGAAAAGAAGACCAAAAGGGAGCAGGUAGAAAAAAAGAAGGAAUUUUCUUUACGUAAGGGUACUAUGCACAAUAAUAAAAAGAAGGGAGGAAUGGUUGGAGGCUGAGAAGAGAAGAAAGGAGUCUUGGGUUCUCUUUGUGUUCUUUUCAAGAAGAGGUUGAUAUUCGAAUCUGAUUUGGAAUCUCGUCUAUAUCUCAUUCAAGGUGAUGUUUGAGUGUGAUAUUUGUUUCAGAUUUGUGGGCUUUGAUGUUGAAAUAGUGGGGUCUUCUAUAAUGAUAAGCAUGGUAUAGACUAUGAAGUGUAUAUAUUGAUUCAUUAGACCUCAUUAUAUCACUAGUUACUGAUUUAAAACGUCAUGACGCAUUUCAAAGUGUGAUUAUAUGGAAUGUAAAAUGGUGUCUAUGUGAGUGAAUCUUUGAAUAUGGAUUUGAUUUGAUAUUACAUUUGAAUACUCCUUUUGACCA